GGAAAUAGAAACAGAAUGAAACGAAACAGAGAGCAGGGAGAAAAGAAAGAAAGAAAGGGAGAAAAGAGAAAAUUUAAGGUUUGAAGCUUUAAGCUUUAAUAGGGGAAAUCAACGGGAAUAUUAUCCGAGUUCUGCACUGUGAGAUAAUUAAUUUUUAGUGAAGAAGGGACGAAACUGUCAGACAGCAGAAUAGGGGUGAAUUUAAAGAAUAAACUGUACUUAAUGUCUAAACCAAAAAUUCUGGAAAUUUUAUUGUAAGAAGAUUUGUAAGUCUAGUUUCAGGAAAAAUUAGCGGAUCUUGAUUUAGAAUUCUGUAACUCAAGAUAUGAAUUAGUAAUGUAUUAAUGAUUAUGAAUUGUAUUAA